rnacentral:lncRNA from 1 species
AAUGCUAGCUAGCCAUAUGUGUCUGUCCACCUUAAUGGCGUAGCAUAUAGCCGCAUUAUGGUGUGACGUGAGCGUUGGACGUAAGCGUAGUAGUCCCUAUUUGAGUGUUUAAUUCAUAUAGGGGGUAUGGACACAUAUUUACACACCCGUCUAUCCACCUUGAUGGCGUAGUGUAGCACCGCAUUAAGGCGUGACGUGAGCGUUGGACGCGAGCGUAGUAGCCCUAUAUAGACCCAUGAAUUUAUAUAGGGAGUAUGGACGAAUGUAAAUACAUACAUAUAUUAUAGAGUCUGAGAGGCUCGAUAUUUUAUGAGAUAAAAGUUUUAUCGCUUGCGGCAUGCAUUCGAUUUUUCCUUAGAAAUUAAUUUGGGGAAACAUAAAUAUUUUAUUUAUUAUUUUAUUUUUUGUCCACUCACUCUAACGUUAUUAAAUGUUUUCCCCUGAGCCCUUCGUUUUAAAUUGCCCAGUCUGCAGAGUUCGGGUUGGAUCUUGUAGGAGGCGAGGCAUAGUCACCCGCAUUUCUGCCAGUUUUCGUCAGUAGGUUAUCUGUUCAACCUACUCGUGUUUUCUUGCUUCCGCUAGUGUUUAGUAGCUCUGAAUACUUUGGGAUUAUUGUAUAUUAUGUGUAGAAUUUCUGAAGGAUAAUUAUGUGAUGUUUGGAAGUGCUAAAUUAAGAGUGUAAUUUGGAAUUUUCGAGUUAGGGUUGUCCAUCUGCAAGGGAGAUUUUCUUAAUCUUUUCAGUAAAUUUUCCUUGGAGGUGGUCCCUGCACGACUUACUCCGGGUUUCAGGGUGAAAUUUGGGGUGGGUCGUGUCAUA